GUUGGCAGUAAGGGUAUAAGAAACCUACACACACACAUACACACACACGUAUGUGUGUGUGUGGCACUGUGCUAGUUAAAGACAAAGGUGUUUUACAUAUCUCAAGCUAGUUAUGCGCACUGAAGUAAUUUUUAUUUACCAGCCCCUGCUUGUCAGAAAACAAUUUGGAAAAUCCCUCACCCACAGUUUCAAGAUGUUUGCAAAACUUAUUAUUUAUUGUCGAUAAUUCAUAUUCUAAGGCUAAUUUUUGACUGGCUCAUCUUCUAACCAAAUGGCCAAUGUUUUUCUGAAUGUAUGAUUCAGAGCAUUAAUUCCCCCCUCUGGGUUUGCUUUGUGUAAAUAAAUGAUUACAGACACGAUAAAACAGAUGAGAAAUAAAACAUUGAGAAGUCGCUGAAUUUCACAAAUGAAAACAUGUAAAGAUAUUGCAGUCUGGGUGGGGCAGCGAACUGGAGGGAGAGUGUGUGUAUGCAGGGAAAUAUUGUGAAAGCUUUUCAGUAAGUAAUUGGGUAAGCAGACAGCGCUUCCGGUUCAGCCAGGACUCAGCCUGGCGACCUGUGGCGUGUGCGGUUGGGCAGCAGUACCCAGUCCAGUGGCAAGAUCUGUAAGCGAAUUCUGCUUUAGUUGCUGUGGUCAGCCAGAGGGAGGGUGCUGUCCUUCUUCACUGGUGGUGCCACAGAAGAAAGACUCGGAGAUCUGCUUCCGUGAAGAUUGCAGUCAAGAAAAAUCUAUGAAGCAGUUCUACUCCAUAACACUUGGUGUCGCCAUGAGUCAGAAUCUACUCUACAGCAAUGUAGGCCUCCCUUUUGAGAUUCUCUGAGCUUCUCCAGAAGAUAAUAUGUGACUUUUUGGAAACUAGAAGCAUCACAGAACCAGAGACUGUUUGGGACACAAGACUACUGGAAUUUCCAGCCUGUCUACCACCAAUAGAUUUUGGAGUUGCCAGCCCCCACAAUCAUUUUGAAUCCCCACAGCAAUACUACAGAGGAAAGUCCUGGUGAUCUGCUUCCAUAAAGAUUACAUCCAAGAAAAACCUACGGAGCAGUUCUACUCUGUAACAUAUAGAGUUGUCAUGAGUUGGAACUGACUCGAUAACAACGGGUUUUUGUGUUGGGGUGGCACAAAUGGUUUGUGCUCAACUACGGACUGAAAAGUUGGUGAUUCAAAUCCAUCCACAGUGCUGCAGAACAAAGGACUGGAAAUCUACUUCCAUAAGAUUAUAGCCAUUGAAAACCCUACGCAGCACGGUGCUGCUCUGAAACAUGUGAUGUUGCCAUGAGUAGGAAUCAACUAGAUGCCAACCAUUCAGUUUCGGUUCUCCUGGACUGAAGCCAUAGGUCAGAGGUCAGAUGGCAGGUGCUGAUAAUAGAAUCCCUCUAUUUAUCUUGGAACCUCGCUCCCCACAGCCCUGUACCUGCUGGGACCUUAACCUGCAGGGCAAGAAACGAGCAUGCUCUUAGCCAUUGGGGCCACUAUCCCAGAAGUUGAGUCUGUAUGCUAUUCCUGGUGAGUCACUCCCUGUGCCCUUUCUGGGGUCUAUGUCCUCCUGACGCCCCACCCUGGUUGGGCAGCACUUCCUCCCCUGUGCUCUGCGCCUAAAGGGAUGGAGCUACACUGCAAGUGUGCAUAUGUCUGCUGCACUUGUCUGCUGAGGAUACCAUGAAACGGCACAAGUGAAAAGACAAGCUCCUGCCAUGGUUUAAAGAAGUAAAGAUGGACCUGGUAUUUGCCUGAAGUGAAUGUUUUCAGGUCUUGAGAUGUGUCCAGGCCGCUGUCCUCCUCUCUGGGAAUCAGGAGCAUGGGACUCCAGAAAGCAAGACCCUUGUCAGCUUUUCCUUCAUUGCACGUUUACCAGGAGAAGCCAACACACGGCUGCGAGGAUGGACUUUUGAUCAUCAGCUAGGGCUGCAACCUGCUCAGCAGAAAGUUUAUGUUAGCAAAACAAAUUCCUUUUGCUGAUGUUGUUUUAGUCCCCUGCAUUCCACACUGGAUUCUUACACACACAGCUCUAAGAAAGACUCAUUGUGUUCACAAAUUGCACCUGGGUCACUAAUAGUAUGUUGGAUCAGAGUCUAUUUUGAAGGUUUUCUCCUGGUACAAUUCAUAGGACCUUUUCUCUCAUAUUUUCUUUUAAGUAAACUUUUUAUUUUGGAAAUAUAGAUUCACAUGCAUUUGCAAGAAACAAUAUAGAGGAAUUCUAUGUAGCCUUCACCCAGUUUCCCCCCAGGUUGAUGUCUUGCAAAACUAUAGUUCAAUAUCACUAAUAGGACAUCGACAUUGAUACAGUUGAGAUAGAGAACAUACCCAUCACCUUGAGGAUCCCUUAUUUGCCCUUUUAUAACCACACCCACUUCCCUCCUUCCUGACCCACCCCUUCUUUUUUAUUUUUUAAAAUCUUUAUUGUGCUCUAAGUGAAAGUUUGCAAAUCAAGGCAGUCUUUUAUACAAAACCUUAUAUAUACCUUGCUAUAUACUCCUAGUUGCUCUCCCCCUUAUGAGACAGCACAUUCCUUCUCUCCACCCUGUGUUUCCAUGUCCAUUCAGCCAGCUUCUCUUCCCCUCAGACUUCACAUCUCCCCUCUAGACAGGUGCCUCCCAGAUAGUCUCAUGCGUCUACUUGAUCCAAGAAGCCCACUCUUCACCAGUAUUAUUUUCUGUCUUAUAAACCAAAACCACCCAAUUUCUGUCUUAUAGUCCAGUCCAAUCCGUAUCUGAAGAGUUGGCUUUGAGAAUGGUUCCUGUCUUGGGCUAACAGAAGGUCUGGGGACUAUGAUCUCUGGGGUCCCUUUGGUCUCAGUCAGAUCAUUAAGUCUGGUCUUCUUACUAGAAUUUGGGGUCUGCAUCCCACUGCCGUCCUGCUCCUUCAGGGAUUCUCUGUUGCUCCCUGUCAUGGAAGUCAUUGGUUGUAGCUGGGCACUGUCUAGUUCUUCUGGUCUCAGGCUGAUGUAGUCUUUAAUUUACGUGGCCCAUCCUGACUCUUGGGCUCAUACUUACCUUGUGUCUUUGGUGUUCUUCAUUCUCCUUUGAUCCAGGUGGGUCGAGACCAAUUGUUGCAUCUUAGAUGGCCGCUUACUAGCAUUUAAGACCCCAGAUGCCACUCUCCAAAGUGGGAUGCAGACUGUUUUCCUAAUAGAUUUUAUUAUGCCAAUUGACCUAGAUGUCCCCUGAAACCAUGGUCCCCAAACCCCUGUCUCUGCUACUCUGGCCUUUGAAGCAUUCGGUUUAUUCAGGAAACUUCUUUGCUUUUGGUAUAGUCCAGUUGUGCUCACCUCUCCUGUAUUGUGUGUGGUCCAUUGCUUCACCUAAAUUAGUUCUUGUCUACUAUCUAAUUAGUGAAUUCCCCUCUCCCUCCCUCUUGUAACCACCAAAGAAUAUUUUCUUCUCUGUUUAAACUAUUUCUUGAGUUCUUAUAAUAGUGGUCUCCUACAAAAUUUGUCCUUUUGCAACUGACUAAUCACAGUCAGCAUAAUGCCUUUCAGGUUCCUCCAUGUUAUGAAAUGUUUCACAGAUUCACAGAUUUAUCGAUGCAUAGUAUUCCAUUGUGUGAAUAUACCAUCAUUUAUUUAUCUAUUCAUCUGUUGAUGGGCACCUUGGCUGCUUCCAUCUUUUGGCUAUUGUAAACAGUGCUGCAGUGAACAUGGGUGUGAAUAUAUCUGUUCAUGUAAAGGCUCUUAUUUCUCUAGGAUAUAUUCCAAGGAGUGGGAUUGCUGGAUCAUAUGGUAGUUCUAUUUCUAGCUUUUUGAGGAAGUGCCAAAUUGAUUUCCAAAGUGGGUGUACAUUUUACAUUCCCACCAGCAGUGUAUAAGUAUUCCAGCCUCUCCACAACCUCUCCAACAUUUAUUAUUCUGUGUUUUUUGGAUUAAUGCCAGCCUUGUUGGAGUGAGAUGGAAUCUCAUUGUAGCUUUGAUUUGCAUUUCUCUAAUGGCUAAUGGGUUUUUAAUGGCUAAUGAACGUGAGCAUUUCCUCAUGUAUCUGUUAGCUACCUGAAUGUCUUCCUUAGUGAAGUGCCUAUUCAUACCCUUUGCCCACCUUUUAAUUGGGUUAUUUGUCUUUUUGUUGUUGAGUUUUUGCAGUAACAUGUAGAUUUUAGAGGUCAGCCACUGAUUGGAGAUGUCAUAGCUAAAAACUUUUUCCCAGUCUGUAGGUAAUCUUUUUACUCUUUUGGUGAAGUCCUUGGAUGAGCAUAAGUGUUUAACUUUUAGGAGCUCCCAGUUAUCUAAUUUCUCUUUUUCUGUUUUCAGUUCUAGUAAUGUUUUGUAUACUGUUUAUGCCACAUAUUAGGGCUCCUAGCGUUGUUUCUAUUUUUUCUUCCAUGAACUUUAUCGUUUUAGAUUUUCUAUUUAGGUCUUUGAUCCAUUUUGAGUUGGUUUUGUGCAUGGUGUGAGGUAUGGGCCUUGUUUCAUUUUUUUGCAGAUGGAUAUCCAGUUAUGCCGGCACCAUUUGUUAAAGAGACUGUCUUUUCUUCAUAUAACAGGCUUUGGGCCUUUGUCAAAUAUCAGUUGUUCAUAUGUGGAUGGAUUUCUUUCUGGGUUCUCGAUUCUGUUCCGUUGGUCUAUGUGUCUGUUAUUGUACCAGUACCAGGCUGUUUUGACUACCGUGGCGGUAUAAUGUGUUCCAAAAUCAGGUAGUGUGAGGCCUCCCACUUUGUUCUUCUUUUUCAGUAAUGCUUUACUUAGCUGGGGCCCCUUUCCCUUCCGUAUGAAGUUGGUGAUUUCUUUGUCCACCUCAUUAAAAAAUGUCACUGGUAUUUGGAUUGGGAUUGCAUUGUAUCUAUAGAUCGCUUUGGGCAGAACAGACAUUUUCACAACGUUGAGUCUUCCUGUCCAUGAGCAAGGCAUGUUUUUCCACUUAUGAAGGUCUCUUUUGGUUUCUUGCAGUAGUGUCUUGUAGUUUCCUUUGUAUAGGUCUUUUACAUCUCUGGUUAGAUUUAUUCCUAAGUACUGUAUCUUCUUAGGGGCUAUUGUAAAUGGUAUUGAUUUGGUGAUUUCCACUUCGUCGCUCUCUUUGUUGAUGUAGAGGAUUCCAACUGAUUUAUAUAUGCUUAUCUUGUAUCCUGAAGCUCUGCUGAACUCUUCCAUUAGUUUCAGUAGUUUUCUUAAGGAUUCCCGAGGUUUUUCUGUGUAUAAGAUCAUGCCAUCUGCAAACAGAGAUACUUUCACUUCCUCCUUGCCAAUUUGGAUACAUUUUAUUUCUUUAACCAGCCUUAUAGCUCUGGCUAGGACCUCCAGCACAAUGUUGAAUAAGAGGGGUGAUAAACGGCAUCCUUGUCUGGUUCCUGUUCUCAGUGGGAAUGGUUUCGAUCUCUCUCCAUUUAAGAUGAUGUUGGCUGUUGGCUUUGUAUAAAUGCUCUUUAUAAAGUUUAGGCAUUUUCUUUCUAUUCCUAUUUUGCUGAGAGUUUUUAGUCACGAAUGGGUGUUGGACUUUGUCAAAUGCCUUUUCUGCAUCAAUUGAUAAGAUCAUGUAGUUCUUGUUUUUUGUUUUAUUUAUAUGAUGGAUUACAUUGAUUAUUUUUCUAAUGUUGAACCAUCCCUGCAUACCUGGUAUUAAUCCCACUUGGUCAUGGUGAAUUUUUUUUUUUUUUUUUGGAUAUGUUGUUGAAUUCUAUCGGCUAGAAUUUUGUUGAGGAUUUUUGCAUCUAAGUUCAUGAGGGAUACUGGCCUGUAAUUUUCCUUUUUUGUGGAGUCUUUUCCUUGUUUUGGUAUCAGGGUUAUGUUGGCUUCAUAGAAUGAGUUUGGGAGUAUUCCAUCCUUUUCUAUGCUCUGAAAUACCUUUAGUAGUAGUGGUGUCAAUUCUUCUCUGAAAGUUUGGUAGAAUUCUCCAGUGAAGACGUCAAGGCCAGGGCUUUUCUUCGUUGGAAGUUUUUUGAUUACUUUUUCAAUCUCUUCUUUGGUUAUAGGUUUAUUCAGUUGUUCUGUCUCUGUGUUAGUUUAGGUAGGUAGUGUGUUUCUAGAAAUGUGUCCCUUUCCUCUAAGUUUUUAAAUUUGUUAGAGUACAACUGUUCAUAGUACUCUGUUAUGAUUCUUUUAAUUUCAGUUGAGUCUGUUGUAAUAUUGCCCAUCUCAUUUUUUAUUUGGGUUAUUUGCUUCAUCUCCUGUUUUUCUUUUGUCAGCCUAGCCAAUGAUUUGUUGAUUUUGUUAAUCUUUUUAAAGAACAAGUUUUUGAUCUUGUUAACUCUUUUUUUUUUUUUUGGCUUUAACAAAGAGAGAUUUAUUCUCUCACAGUCCAGGAGGCUAGAAGUCUGAAUUCAGGGUGCCAGCUCCAGGGGAAGGCUUUCUCUCUCUGUCAGCAUUGGAGGAAGGUCCUGUCAUUAUUCUUUCCUGGUCGAGGAGCUUCUCAAGGCAGGGACCCUGGGUCCAAAGGACACACUAUUCUCUUGGCUCUUGUUUCUUCUUGUUAACUCUUUCAAUUGUUUUUCUGUUCUCUAUUUCAUUUAACUCAGCUCUAAUUUUUAUUAUUUGCUUUCUUCUGGUGCCUGAAGGUUUCUUUUGUUGCUCUCUUUCUAUUUGUUCGAGUUGUAGGGAUAAUUUUUUGAUUUUGGCCCUUUCUUCUUUUUGUAUGUGUGCAUUUAUUGAUAUAAAUUGACCUCUGAGCUCUGCUUUUGCUGUGUCCCAAAGGUUCUGAUAGGAAGUGUUUUCAUUCUCGUUGGAUUCUAUGAAUUUCUUUAUUCCAUCUUUGAUGUCUUCUAUAACCCAGUCAUUUAUGAGCAGAGCAUUGUUCAGUUUCCAAGUGUUUGAUUUCUUUUCCCUGCUUUUUUUGUUACUGACUUCUACUUUUAUGGCCUUAUGAUCAGAGAAGAUCCUUUGUAAUAUUUCAAUGUUUUGGAUUUUGUUAAGGCUUGCUUUAUGGCCUAAUAUGUGGUCUAUUCUAGAGAAUAUGUUCCAUGUGCAUUGGAAAAGAAAGUAUACUUGGAUGCUGUUGGGUGGAGUGUUCCGUAUAUGUCUAUGAGGUCAAUUGGUUAAUUGUGGCAUUUAGUUCUUCCAUGUCUUUAUUGAGCUUCUCUCUGGAUGCUCUGUCCUUCACUGAAAGUGGUGUGUUGAAGUCUCCUACUAUUAUUGUGGAGCUGUCUAUCUCACUUUUCAAUGCUAGUAGAGUUUGUUUUAUGUAUCUUGAAGCCCUGUCCUUGGGUGCAUAAAUAUUUAGUAUGUUAAUAUCCUCCUGGUAUAUUCUCCCUUUAAUCAUUUUAUAGUGUUCUUCCUUAUCCUUUGUGGUAGAUUUAAGUUCGAAGUCUGUUUUGUCAGAAAUUAGCAUAGCCACUCCUGCUAUUUUGAUUGUCGUUUGCUUGAUAUAUUUUUUUCCCAUCCUUUGAAUUUUAGUUUGUUUGUGUUUUUAAGUCUAAAAUGCAUCCUUGUAGGCAGCAUAUAGUUGGAUUGCGUUUUUUUAUCCAUUCUGCAACUCUCUGUCUCUUCAUUGGUGUGUUUAGUCCAUUUACAUUUGACGCGAUUAUAGAUAGGUAUGAGUUUAGUGCUGUCAUUUUGAUGUCUUUUUUGUGUGUUGUUGACAGUUUCAUUUUUCUACUUACUUUUUUGUGCUGAGAAGUUUUUCUCUGUAAAUUGUGUGUUUCUUUUUUUCAUUGUGGUUGAAUUUGUUUUUGCUGAGUCUUUAUCUUGUUUUUUUAUUUUGAAGUUUAGGAUUGUUAGUCUUCUUUGCGGUUACCUUGAUAUUUACCCCUAUUUUUCUAAGUUUAUAUGUAACUUGUAUCUCCCUAUAUCGCCUUGAUUUCCUCUCCAUAUGGAAGGUCUAUGCCUACUUUAUUUAUUCCCUCUUAAUUGAUUAUUGUCAUCUUUUACAUAAUGACAUCACUGAUUCUCUGUUUUGAGUGGUUUUUUUUUAAUAUUAAUUUAUUUUUAUGAUUUCCCUAUCUGAGUUGAUAUCUGGUUGCUCUGUUCUGUGUUCUAGUGUUGGGUUGAUAUCUGAUAUUUUUGAUUUUCUAUCCAGAGAAUCCCCUUUAGUAUUUCUUGUAGUUUUGGUUGGUUUUUCAAGCUCCCUAAGCUUCUGUUUAUCUGUAAAUGUCUUAAUUUCACCUUCAUAUUUGAGAGACAGUUUUGCUGGAUAUAUGGUUCUUCACUGGCAAUUCUUCUCCUUCAAUGCUUUAUAUAUGUCAUCCCAUUGCCUUCUUGCCUGCAUGUUUUCUGCUGAGUAGUCCGAAAUCAUUCUUAUCGAUUCUCUUUUGUAGGUGACUUUUUGCUCAUCCCUGGCUGCUCUUAAAAUUUUCUCUUUAUCUUUGGUUUUGGCACAUUUGAUGAUAAUAUGUCUUUGUGGCUUUCUUCUGGGAUCUACCUUGUAUGGGGUUUGAUGAGCAUCUUGAGUAGAUACCCUUUCAUCUUUCAUGAUAUCAGGGAAGUUUUCUGCCAACAAAUCUUCAACAAUUCUCUCUGUAUUUUCUGUUAUCCCUCCCUGUUCUGGUAUUCCAAUCACUUGCAAGUUAUUCUUUUUGAUAGAGUCCCACAUGAUUCUUAGGGUUUCUUCAUUUUUUUUUUUUAAAUUCGUUUAUCUGAUGUUUCUUCAAAUAUAUUGGUGCCAAGUGAUUUAUCUUCAAUCUCACAAAUUCUGCAUUCCAGUUCCUCAAUUCUGCUCCUCUGGCUUCCUAUCAAGUUGUCAAAUUCCAUAAUUUUAUUGUUAAUAUUCUGAAUUUCUGAAUGCUGUCUUCAUAUGGAUUCUUGCAGCUUAUUAAAUAUUUCAUUAUGUUUUUGAAUAAUCUUUUUAAUUUCUUUAACUGCUUUAUCUGUGUGUUCCUUGGCUUUUUCUGUUUGUUUCCUGAUCUUGUUCCUGAUGUCUUGAAGAGUUCUGUAUAUUAAUCUUUUGUAUUCUCUCUCUGGUAAUUCCAGGAAUACCUCUUCAUCCGGAAGAGUCCUUGAUUCUCUGUUUUGCGAGUUGGUUGACGCAAUCAUGGUCUGCUUCUUUAUGUGAUUUGAUAUUGAUUGUUGUCUCUGAGCCAUCCAUAAGUUAUUGUAUUAAUUUAUUUUUACGUUUGCUCAUAGGUCCUAGUUUCUUGCUUUGUUUUGUUUCAAUACGGCCAAAUAGGCCACUAGAGUGAGCUAACUUGGUUAUUGGAGCCUUUGAAGUACUAAUGUCCUGUUACCAGAUGGCUAGAGCUAUUAUUACCAGGUAUAUGAGCCUAGGAGUCCAUUCACUGUUCUUGUACAGAUUCAGCUCAGGUGUCCUGAUUGUCGAUCACCUAGUGUGUGGUAUAGGCUCUCACCUACUAUCUUAGAGGAGUAGUGGUGAAGGGUGUAUGCACUGGUUUCUGGUAGCAGCAGAGGGUCACACUCUGAGGAAGGCAGGGAGCUGACAGCCUUCCCCCAAGUGUCAGUGAGGAAGGAGUGUCUCUGUUCUUUAGAGUGCUCUGGUGGGUAGGCUCUGCAGCUGUACCUUAGGCACCCAGUGCUUAUACCUGUAAGAACUGGUAGGCACCACUGUCCUUUCAUGGGUGACUAGGUGGCAUGGAUGGAGCCUCCAGUCCUCAGGCUCCCGCUGGGACCUACCUCUUCUUAAUCCCUGGCCCCAGCAACCACUAAUCUGUUUUGAUUUUUAUAAUUUUGUCAUAUCAAUUAUGUAUAUAUAUGGAAUCAUAUGUGGAAUUGGCUUUUUUUUUUCACUCAGCAUAAUUCUCAAUAGACUUAUCCAGUCUGUCAUGUGUAUCAACAGUUCAUUCCUUUUCAUUGCUGAGAAGUAUUCUAUGGUAUGAACAUGCCCCAGUUUGUUUAACAAUUCACCGAUCUAGGUUGUGUCCAGUUUUGGGCUAUUACAAAUAAAGCUGCUCUAAAAACUCAUUCACAGGUUUUUGUAUGAACAUAAGUUUUCAUUUCUCUGAGAUAAAUGCCCACAGGUGUAAUUGCUGAGUUGUAUGGUAGUGGUGCAGUUGUUAAAGCAUUCUACUGGUAACCAAAAGGUUGGUGGUUCGAACCCACCAGUUUCUCUAUGGGAGAAAGAUGUGGCAGUCUGAUUCUGUAAACAUUUACAGCCUUAGAAACCCUAUGGAGCAGUUCUACUCUGUCCUUUAGGGUCACUGUGAGUGGGAAUUGACUCGAUGGCAGUGGGUUUUUUUGUUUUUAUGGUUGUGGCAUGAUUAUUUUUUUUAAAAACUGCCAAAAUAUUUUCCAAAGUGGCUGUACCAUUUUACCAUCCCACCAGGAAUGUGUGAAAGAUAUAAUUUCUCGGCUUCAUUGCUAGCAUUUGGUGCUGUCACUAUUUUUUAUUUUAACCAUCCCGAUAGGUCUGUAGUCAUAUCAAAUUGUGCUUUAAUUUGGAUUUCCCCGGUGGCUCAUGAUGUUGAACAUCUUUUCAUGUGCUUAUUUGUCAUCUGUAUAUCCUCUUCUGCGAAAUGUCUCUUCAUGUCGUUUGUUCAUUUUUUAUUUAUUGUGGUGGAAAUACACACAACAAAACAUUCUUCAGGGCCUGUUUUUUAAUGGAAUUUUUUAAAAAGCUGUUGAGUUUUGAGAGUUCUUCCUAUGUUCUAGACACUAGUCCUCUAUUGGCUAUGUGGUUUGCAAAUAUUAUCUUCAGUUCGUAGCUUGCUUUUUAAUCCUUUUUGCAAGGUCUUUUGCAGAGCACAGUUUUUAAUUUUGGUGGAGUUCAAUUUAUUGUUUUCUUUUCUGGAUCAAUUGUCCUUUUGGUGUCAAGUCUUUGCAUCUCUCUAGAUCCCAAAGAUUUUCUCCUAAAAGGUUUAGCGUUACAUUUAAGUCUGUAGUUCAUUUUGAGUUAAUUUUUUGUAAAAGGUCUAAGAGUGGGGUCUAUUUUUUUUUUUUUUGUCUGUGGAUGCCUAAUGGCUCCAGUGCCAUUUGUUGAAAAUAACUAUGACUCCUCUGAUGAAUUGCUUUUGCACCUUUGUCAAAAAAUCGAUCGACUCAAGGUGCCUGGGUGACACAAACAGUUUGUGCUUGACUGGUAACCAAAAGGUUGGUGGUUUGAAUCCACUUAGUGGCACUGUGGAAGAAACUGCUUCUGUAAAGAUUAAAGCCAAGAAAACCCUGUGAAGUGGUCCUACUCUAAAGCACAUGGGGUCUCCUAAGUCACAAAUGAAAACAAAAAUCAACAACCAAAAAGUCAGUUGACUUGACAACAAAAAUACAAACUCAAUUUAAAAAAGGCAAAGGACUUGAAUAGACAUUUUUCCAAAAAAGAUAUAAAAAUGGCCAAUAAGCCCAUAAAAAAUACUCACCGUCAUUAGUCAUUAGGAAAAUGCAAAUCAAAACCACAAUGAGAAUAUCAUUUCACGACCAAUGGCUAUUAUAAGAAAAACAGGAAGAAAAAAAACAGAAGUGUUGGGGAAGACACAGAGAAAUUGGAACCCUUAUGCACUGAUGGUGAGAAGGCGAAAUGGUGUAGCCACUGUGGAAAACAAUUUGGCAGUUCCUCAGAAAGUUAAACAUAGAGCUACCAUUAAAAACACACACACACACACACCCCCCAAACUCAUUGCCAUCAAGUCAAUUCUGACCCAUAGUGACCCUAUAGGUCAGAGUGGAAGUGUCCCGUAGAGUUUCCAAGGAACGCCUGGUAGAUCUGAACUGCCAACUUUUUGGUUAGCAGCUGUAGUUCUUAACCACUGCACCACCAGGGUUUCCAAAACUACCAUAUGACACAGAAAUUCCAGACCUCUUUUUCGCUGACCUUCUAGUUUACCAAACAUAACGUCCUUCUCCAGGGAAUGAUCCCUCCUGAUAAGAUGUAGUCUCGCCUUCCUUGCUUCCAAGGAGCACUCUGGUUGUAAUUCUUCCAAGGAGUUUCUCUUUAGGGUGAUGAAAAACAUUUGGAAAUGGAUAGUGGUGUUGGUUGUACAACGUGGUGAAUGCAAGUAAUAUCACUGAAUUAUACAUUAAAGGUGACUAAAAUGGCAAAUGUUUUGUUAUAUAUAUAAUCACAAUAAAAUAAAGAUUGUAAAAAAAGUUGAGAUUAUUUGUUUGAGUCUGUUUCCAGGUUCCCUAUUCUGUUCCAUCGAUCCACAUGUCUAUUCCUCUGCCAAUACCACACAGUCUCAAUUAUUUAUAUUAUUUAUAAUGUAACUCAUAGUGUGUAGGUGGACUGUUGUUGGAGUAUGUCUGGGGUCCAGAAUGCCAAAUAUCUUCUGGGAAUAAGGUCCAGAUACCCUAUUAAAGAUAAAGUUAGGAUCCUUAGGUGAAGCAGCCACAGCUGGCAGGAAGCAACAGAGGGAAUGUGCAUGGUCUGGACCAGAGGAAGAGCCUCAAAUCAGGAAAAUGGGAGGUAGAAAGCAGAUAGGGUAGAACAAGCCCCAUGUUGAGACUUUAGGAUGGAUGACGUCAGCAGAUGAGGUGUCUAUUGGUUUCACUCAGUGAUGUUUCCAGCUGAUCCCAAUGUGAUGUUCAAGGCUUUGCUUCUUUCUAAGAAAGUACUGGCCAUGUCUAACUCAACUUUUUAAUUCUUCUUUCUCUUCUUCACACAAGGGAAAGUUAUAUCACUGGGGGAAUAUUCCUAGGGGCUAAAUGUACAUCAAAUAUAUUUUUAUUUUUACUUUUUUAUUGAGAUAUAAUAUACAUAAAGUACAUGAAAUACACCAUCUUAGGUGUGCUGCACAAUCAGUGUUUAAAUAUGUGUACAAUUUUGUAACCACCACCUGGACUAAGACAUGUCUACGUCCAUGUCUGGAAAUCCUAGAAAGUUCCUGUGUCCUUUCUAGUCAAUCCUUGCUUCCAAUGGAAAGAACCAUUCCAAACAUCUGUUCUUUAACUUCAUAUAAAUGAAACCAUAAAAUAUGUGCUCUGGCUUUGUUGCGGAUUGAAUUGUAUCCCCCAAAAGUAUAUGUUGGAAGUCCUAACACCUGUACCUGUGAAUGGGACUCUGUUUGGAAAUAGUGUUUUUCUUUUUAAUGUUAAUGAGGCUAUACCAUAGUAGGGUGGGCCCUAAACUUAAUCCCUUCUGAGAGGUGUCUUUAAAAAAGAGCAGAAUAGGCACACAGUCACACACAGAGGGCAAGACAGACACCAUGUUAAGCAUCUACAAGCAGUCAAGGAAUGAGAAGAAAUGCCUAGGGUACAGAAGCUGGAAGAGACAAGGAUCUUCCCCCAGAGCUGCAAGAGAGACAGAGAGAGAGAUAGAGAGAACCUAA